UACGGGGGGGGCAAGCGUUGUUCGGAAUUGCUGGGCGUAAAGGGCUCGUAGGUGGCCAACUAAGUCAGACGUGAAAUCCCUCAGCUUAACUGGGGAACUGCGUCUGAUACUGGAUGGCUUGAGAUUGGGAGAGGGAUGCGGAAUUCCAGGUGUAGCGGUGAAAUGCGUAGAUAUCUGGAGGAACACCGGUGGCGAAGGCGGCAUCCUGGACCAACACUGACACUGAGGAGCGAAAGCCAGGGGAGCAAACGGG
rnacentral:rRNA from 1 species